AGGCAGCGUGGUGUAGUGGAUA
rnacentral:miRNA from 1 species